rnacentral:rRNA from 1 species
UACGGGGGGGGCAAGCGUUGUUCGGAAUUACUGGGCGUAAAGGGCUCGUAGGCGGCCAACUAAGUCGGAUGUGAAACCCCCAGGCUUAACCUGGGAACUGCAUCCGAUACUGGAUGGCUUGAAUCCGGGAGAGGGAUGCAGAAUUCCAGGUGUAGCGGUGAAAUGCGUAGAUAUCUGGAGGAAUACCGGUGGCGAAGGCGGCAUCCUGGACCGGCAUUGACGCUGAGGAGCGAAAGCUAGGGGAGCAAACGGG